GAUGAACGCUGGCGGCGUGCUUAACACAUGCAAGUCGAACGAAGCAUUUGCGACAGAUUUUUUCGGAAUGAAGUUGCUUAUGACUGAGUGGCGGACGGGUGAGUAACGCGUGGGUAACCUGCCUUGUACUGGGGGAUAGCAGCUGGAAACGGCUGGUAAUACCGCAUAAGCGCACAAUGUUGCAUGACAUGGUGUGAAAAACUCCGGUGGUAUAAGAUGGACCCGCGUCUGAUUAGCUAGUUGGUGAGAUAACAGCCCACCAAGGCGACGAGCAGUAGCCGACCUGAGAGGGUGACCGGCCACAUUGGGACUGAGACACGGCCCAGACUCCUACGGGGAGCAGCAGUGGGGAAUAUUGCACAAUGGAGGAAACUCUGAUGCAGCGACGCCGCGUGAGUGAAGAAGUAAUUCGUUAUGUAAAGCUCUAUCAGCAGGGAAGAUAGUGACGGUACCUGACGAAGAAGCACCGGCUAAAUACGUG
rnacentral:rRNA from 1 species